GACGAACGCUGGCGGCGUGCUUAACACAUGCAAGUCGAACGGAAAGGCCCUGCUUUUGUGGGGUGCUCGAGUGGCGAACGGGUGAGUAACACGUGAGUAACCUGCCCUUGACUUUGGGAUAACUUCAGGAAACUGGGUCUAAUACCGGAUAGGAGCUCCUGCUGCAUGGUGGGGGUUGGAAAGUUUCGGCGGUUGGGGAUGGACUCGCGGCUUAUCAGCUUGUUGGUGGGGUAGUGGCUUACCAAGGCUUUGACGGGUAGCCGGCCUGAGAGGGUGACCGGCCACAUUGGGACUGAGAUACGGCCCAGACUCCUACGGGAGGCAGCAGUGGGGAAUAUUGCACAAUGGGCGGAAGCCUGAUGCAGCAACGCCGCGUGCGGGAUGACGGCCUUCGGGUUGUAAACCGCUUUCGCCUGUGACGAAGCGUGAGUGACGGUAAUGGGUAAAGAAGCACCGGCUAACUACGU
rnacentral:rRNA from 1 species